UGAGCACCUGCUUCUGACAGCAUUGUCUUC
rnacentral:piRNA from 1 species